rnacentral:SRP_RNA from 1 species
AUUGGGGAGUGGUAAGCGGUUGGAUUGUUAAAUCUGUCAGAUCCGGAAGGAAGCAGCAGGAGCAAUUCAUCCCUGUACCGCUCCCCUUAUUU